CGUUGUCUGCUGUAAGGUGCCGGGCAACAGUAGUGAUGACACCAAACACAAAGACAAUGGCCAUUGAACAUCUAUCCCGCUCGGACAACGUAAUGGAACAUACAAAACGCGAUCAUGAUCGAUACUGGAAAACUGUAGCUUUCAUCAGUUGUUUCAUGUCCAUUAUGAUUUUUAACUCGUUUACAGAGACCUACGGUGUCCUCUACACCUAUAUGAGGGAGCCCCUCGAGGUGACCGAGUACCAGCUGGCGUGGAUCGGCUCUCUCAUGAGUGGCUUCUAUGGUCUCACGUCUGUGCUGACGUCAGUGUUAGUGGAGAGAGUGGGUAGUCGUUAUACCCACCUGCUUGGAGGCCUUGUACUUGCCUCCUCUGUGAUAGUCAGCAGUCAGACAAGUAGUAUUUAUGUCCUUUAUCUAACACUUGGAGUUUUGCCAGGCGUAGGUUCAUCGCUCGUUUUCAUCUCCUCCACCGUUCAUCUUAACCGGUUGUUUUCAAGAUGGCGGCCACUUGCUGCCGGUGGUGCAACCAUUGGAGGGGCAGUUGCUGGUCUUGUAUGGCCGCAAUUGAUGUCCAGUCUAGCUGACACGUUUCACUGGCGGGGCGCUCUUCUUAUUAAUGGUGCAUUGGUGUUACACAUGCUUCCAUGUGCGCUGUGGAUCAAACCCAAUCUCACGAAAGUUCCGGUUACCUGGGACAGCCGCAAGGUUCAAAAGGGGUCUCUAUGGAAACGAUUCAGAGAACAGGUUACAACUAAAGUUCCUGGGAGGCUUCUCUGUGGUAUGGUGUCCCAUGUUGGUCAGAUUGUUCGGCCUUGAGAAUCUUCCUAAGUUCCUUGGAGGCCAGUUGCUGAUGCAAGGUAUUGGAUCACUGUGCGGCCCGCCAUUGCAGAAGUAGCCAAGGUUAAAAUUCCCAUCUCCGUCCAUCGACCUCAAUUGAGCUAUUUGUGGAUAUGGAAGAAUACUUUCAUGUGGAAGGUUACCUGGCCGAUGUGUUUGGUCACAAGGAGGUCAUCUUCUACAUCACCGGAGCUUCAUUCAUCAGUAGUAUCCUGGUCGUCCUUCCCUUCCUGCUCAGACGACAACGUGGAUCCCGACACAGAGACGACCCCGCCGUUACGGGAGUAACCAACCAGGCAGUGGAACUAGAUUCCAUCGACAGUCCUGUAUGACAUCCACUGAGGUAUACCUGGCAUGUCGUUUGAAUUACGGCCGUGUUUCCAUAUCAGUGGAUAACAAAUGAACAAACCACAAACGAUUAUAGGAAGAACAUCAAUCUUCGCGGUUAAUGAUUGUACAUGUAAAUGUGAAUAAACCACUUUUCUCAGA